rnacentral:misc_RNA from 1 species
UUUCCGUAGGUGAACCUGCGGAAGGAUCAUUAAUGAUUGCGAAUGGGUUGCCUUCAGUGCUGGCUCGUUAAAAAGCAAGUGCACGUUGGUGGCUUUCAUCCAAUAACCCUUGUGAACCUUUGGCCUCUUGCUAGCUUCGGCUGGCAAAGGAUUUUUAUACACACACUCGAAUGUAAUGAAAACUAUUGUCGUGCGCAUGCACUAAUGUACAACUUUCAACAACGGAUCUCUUGGCUCUC